UAUUCGGAGUGAUUUCUAACACUGUGUCUUUGCUGGAAUGUCCUUGACAGUGUUCAAACCCCUUUCACAGUCCUGCUGACAAGGCUGUGUGUCUGGGACAGAGACUCUAAGCACCCACUUCUUAGCCCUGCAGGUCUAGCCAGCGCCUCCCAUAUAGACAGCAAUUAAUACGCAUUAUCCAAAGGCUGAAAGGAGGAGGAUUUCAUAGCAAAAACAGUCUCCUAUCUCCUGACUUCUUUUACGAAUUUCCUAGCCUCCUUCUGGUAAGUCAGGAAAAAAAUCCCCACAAGCAUAUGACAUUUUGACGUUCAGAGAGUGCCUGCUACCUGCCAGGUGCUUUGUGAAAAAUCUCUCAGUUAUCCCAAGCUCAACGGGUGCUGGUUUGCAGGUGAAGAAAUCUGGCUCAGGAAGAUUAAGUCGUGCAGUCAAUACCACACAGAUAACAUCCCAGGAUGCAGAUCCAAGGUCUGAAAACCUCUCUAGAGCUAACGACCCUCUGGCCUGGCUUGUGACUUUUCUUUCAAACCUAUGACCCUCUUCCAUCAUCAGAAACAAAGUCCUAGGCAGAUGGCCUGUGGCCCCUACUGACUAUAUUUCUCGAAACAGCACCAUUAAGUCAUGAGGCAAGCCUUGCCAAAAGCCCAGGACCCUGCCACAAAUGGCCACCGUGGUCUCUUCCUUAAGUUAGGCUGACUCAGCAAGACCAUGGGCUUGACAGUCAAAGGCACGUCAAGGCAUUUCUCAUUAAUCCCCAAAGUAUUUUAAAAUAUCCCAAUUUUGACAUUUGGGGAUUUUCCUACAAGCAGUGGGUGGCUACAGUAUGAACAGGCAAAGCAGUGUCUUUGAAAGCCGGAAAAAAAAAACCCUUUUUCCAUAAAGGUUGUAAGCCUGAAACUGAAGAAUUAUGGGAGAGCCCAGCAGAACCCCUGUGGGGAGGGCAGAUGCUGGCAUGAUCCGAAUGACUAUGUUCUGUGCUCUGGGAAAGAGGUCACAGCUGGUCAUUCUUGACUUGCAGUCCAGUGUCAAAAGCCUCUGAAGCAAGAGAGGCCACUUUCCUCUCAUCUGUGCCCAAGAAAGUGAGAAAAAAACACUACUUCCUUGAUUGCAGAAGUUUUUGUUCAUAAAGGAGCAGUUUUUGUCUUCAAAAACCAGUUCCAAUAUUUGUGUGAAUUCAGGAAGGGAAAGAUCCCGCAUGUAGCUGGCUGAGGAUUGAACAUUGUCUUGUGCAUUCUAGACAAGCCCUCUUUACCUCUGAGCUUCAUCCCAAACCCCUACUUCCUUGGCCAUGUUUCUAGAAUGAUCUUCAGGGAAGGCCCAGCCAAGGCCCAAGGCUCUUAUAGCCAUGUGGCUUCACUUUUCUGGUGGUGAACUUCUCUACAGCGUCACCCAUUUUGGAGAGAGAGGCAGACAUCGUAUCCAGACCACUUUUUAAUCAUGACCCAUAUUUGCUUCAGAUGAAUAUGGUCCAGGGGGAAAAUCCCUGGAAGAGGGAAGGGACCAGAAAACCUGGGUAUUCGUCCUUGAAUUGCCACAUACCUCACAGCUCUGGACAAAUCCUUUAAAUGUUCUGAGCUUCCGCUUUUCACAGAAGGAAGGGAGGGAUUGGGCUCAAUGCCCAGAGAUCACUAAGUUUCCUCUCUGCUCUGAAAUCCUGUGACAAUAAUAAAGUACACACGGAGGGAAGACAUGAGUCUGUCCCACGUCCCCAGGUGACAUGACCUCAGGCAAAUUCUGUCCCAGGAACAAAGACGACCACACUGAGAAUUAUCAGCAUCUCUUACCUACCCCACAGAUCCUACCAACAAGGGCAUAGGAGGAUCUCAUGAGCCUGUAUCUAACUUUAGCUGCUACUGACCCUUCAGUAUAGAGGAUUCGAACCCCAGAGGUCUCGCUCGGGUGGGAUGCUAGAAUGGUAGGAGUAAGCCUGCCAUCUCUGGUCUGCACUAGUUGGCUUAGGCGGUGGCUGAGCUGAGCCAUUGCACCAGCUUCCUCUUCUGCCCGACCCUCACUCAGGCCAGCAUGGACAGCCACAUGGCUUACAAAGGCCAAGAGAAUAUAAGUCUACUUCUUAGCAUCUCACUUAAGAAAAUAAUGAGACAAGAACUAUGUGUAUGCAGCAGUGAUUCUGCUCAAAGCACCGGGCCUUUCAAGAGCUGUGAAUCACCUUCGGUAAUCCUCCAUACCAGGCCUUGAAAUGGGCACUUUCUGUCCACUAUUCCAAAGUCUCGGCCUGGCUGUUCAGAGUACAUGACUGUAUGUGUAAGUGCAUUGAUCUCAACAAAACAACCUAAGCCUCCAAAAGCUAAGGAGCUGAUCAAGUGAUAUGCUCGUAUAAUGGCAGAAACCAUAGAAGAACAUUUGACAGAGAAAAAUGCUCACAAGUUGCUCGGUAAUAACUGUAACUGUUUAAUUUGUAUGCAAUUAUAUUUGAUAAUGUGGAUAAUAAUUUAGGCACAUUAAAUAACAGGCAUUAUAAUAAUAAAUUAUAAUAGUACAUAUUUUAAUUUAAUAAUAUUAUUGUUGUCAUUUAUUAUGACUGGCUGCGAUGUCAGAGGCUAAGGGUUGGGUAUCUGUCUUGCUAAUUGGCCCAGACUUCUCAGCCCCAAAACAGUAAAGCAGAGACCCCAAAAUGAAACCACCUAUGGUAGUUGGUAUCCAAAAUAUCUCUCAAAUGUCCUCAGCCUGUGUCACUACUGGGAAGAGGGGGGAACCUUUAGGAUAUGGGUCCUACUGAAGUUUGGUUGCUGGAGGGAAUAUCUUUGAAGGGGGCGAUGGCACUCCUACCCUUUCCUCUCUCCCUGUGCUUCCUGACCACUGUGAGGUAAUAAGAACUCCUCAUAUUCCUGCUACUAUGUUGGGCUGCAGGCCAACUGACCGUGAGCUGAAACCUAAGGCAUCAUGAACCAAAUACAGUUUUCUUCCUUAUAAGCUGAUGGGUUAGUAACAGAAAGGUGACUUACAUGCUCCUGAAUUAAAACCCACCAUUCCUGAAUGUUCUGUCUCUGAUGUGUACUAUGAGAAUGUUCUACCACUGCUAUCGUUAUAUAUUUAAAUACAUGCACCAGGGCAGGGAGAGUGAACAGCACAGACCUGGCUUCAUGGCUUGGACUAUUCUCCCACCUGGAGAGACUGGAGAGUAGGAGAGGGACAAGUUGGGAGACGGAGAAGACGCUGUGUCUUGGUGGGAAGUGUGAGCUGGGUUUCAGGUACAUCUGGAUUAGAACGCUGAUCUGCUCUACCAACAAACACCAUGCAAAUUAGCUUUCUUAUCUAUGAAAUAGAUAUAAGAAGAUGCCACCCCACUCUUCGGGGUUGGGGAUCAAAACCAGGGCUUCACACAUGCUAGGCAAGUGCUCUACUGUUGGGUCACUCCCCCAGCCCUCAGAAGGCCGUGGACAGUGGUAAGGAUGAUCUUAUAAAACACGAAGUAGACAGGGCUCAUGGAAUAGGUUAUUAAUAUCUGCCACCCAGCAUCUCCCUGCCCUUAAAUACGCACUUCUGACCUCCAUUACUGGGACAAAAUACUUAAGAAAAAUCAACUCAAAGGAGAAAGAAUUGUGGGGAUCAAAUGUAGCCUCGAAUGAAUGAGCUUUUGUAAUGUGAGUGUGAUCAUGUCAAGGACCCUGAUGCCUCAGACCCACAGCAAUGGCAAAGCCUUCGUUCCUAGUGUAUGUGUUGACAAUGUAUGCAGAAAGAACCGAAGCCUCUUCCUCCUGCAACCUUAGACGCUUCCUCGACGAAGACCCCCACAGAGAUUGGCUAACUCACCUUCUGCUUUAACUCUGUUUGAUAAUCAAGCUGACUUUCUGGACUUCUGGUGCCUCUUCAUCCGAAUGCACCACCUACCCAAUCCUAGUUUUUCUGUAGGUAUUUUCAUGUCCAUCUGUCUGUCAAGUCUUCAUUCCCAGUCACCCAAAUCAGGUCAUUCCUAUGCAGGUUGCAGGGGGAAGAAAAGGUUUGAUGCCAGGCAGUUCAAGGGUUUAGUUCAAGGCCAGCCUCCACUAGAUAAUUGAGCUGGGGGCUAGUCUGCGCUUUAUCACAUCCUAUUUCAACAUGUUUAACUAAACUUUCAAAAAAAAAAAAAGAAAAUAAUUUGGAGGUUUUGGUUUGUAGUCACGUGGCCCUGUUGCUUUGGGCCUAUGAUUGUACAGUACAUCCUGGCAGCGGGAGAACAGAAAAGCCAGGAAAGCAAAGAAAGAAAAUGGACUAGGGUCCUAAUAUACCUUCAAGGGCAUGCUCCUAAUAACUUAAUUUCCUUGCAACAAUUCCAUGACGGUCACUGUUGAUUAUCACCUUAACAAAGUUUUUGAAUCACCUGGGAGAUGGUCCUCUGAUCAUGUCUGUUGGGGAUUAUCUUGAUCAUGUUACUUGAGAUGGGACUACUUGCCCACUGUGGGUGGCAUCAUUCCCUAGUCAGGGUAUCUGUGCCUGCGUAAGAUGGAGGAAGUGAGCUGACCACUAGCAUGCAUGCAUUCAUCACUCUCUUCUGAUUUCAGAUAUAGAUGCAACCAACUGCUUCAAGUUCCUUGACUUCAUGUCAUCACGGAACUGUGAACUAAAAUUAACACUGAGAUGCUUGGUCUGAGUACCAAAUCCCAAUAAUCAGAAAAAAAAACCAAAGCAAGGCCUCACCCGCUAAAAGUUCCACCCAUGAUGAAGUAGAAUAAGGGCCAGCAUUUUGACCUCCAGCGGAGGGUUGGCCUUGUAACUAGCCAUCGGAUGCAACAUCAUUGCUAGAUUUGAAUCAUGUAAGACUCCAAACAUCUUUUGCAUAUCUUAGAUGUCCCCUUCUGAUGUGUUUAAGCUGAUAGGAUGCUUUAACGUGGUUAUCUUUUGUUUUUAUUUUUUUGUGACAAGCUCAUAUAACCCAAUCUGGCCUUGAACUUGUUCCAUAGGACAACCUGGCCAUGAUCCUCCGUCUAGUGCUGAAUUAUAUGUGGACCAUAACCCAUCUCCAACGUGUGAUAAGCUUUCAAACUUGUUGCCUCUCACUUCUCUGGAGGUGUGAAGAUAGAUAAUAGCAGUGACCUCAUUUUACUUAGAAACAAACAGGAAUCACAGACACUGAUUUGUCUGAGAGCAAUUACACGUGGGAGUGGACGUGGGAGAAAAAGAUUUAGGGAAAGGAGAAGAUGAGACUGGGACCGAUGCUUAAUGCAUUUGUAGCCUAGUUUCCCUCCUCCUCCCACCAUGCAAGAUCCUCUCAGGGGCCUUUCUUCAGGGUCUUGUUCUUUCCUUAAAAUCAACGGCCAAGAGUCUUACUCGCUCUGCCCAGACAUUUACAGUUGUUUUCUUAACAUUUCAGACCAUCUCAGCCUCAACCUUUCCUAUGAAACCACCCUUCCACAGCCAAAGCAUCCUCCUGCUUAUGGGGGAAACGGCUCCCACUCUCCCCCCCCCAGAGCCAUGCUUUCCCAUGGAGACCUGGAACCACCCAAGUCUGCUGCUGCUUCCACACAUGGCCCUCUGCUCAUGGCUGCACUUCUCCACUGACACGGGAACUCUUCUAUGCUCCCUGGAGAAGAAGGCUGCUGCUCUGGGCUCUGCUUAGGCUGCAUCUAGUGGUCCCUGCCGGGCCAUGAAGCAGCCUUAAUGCUACACUCCCCCAAAGCCUUCCGCAUCACUCAGACCAGAGCCGGAGCAGGAUCUCCCAGAGAGCUUUGCAAGUGAGCUGGGAAGAAAUCUACUCCACCUCAUUCUCCAUGAGCAGAGAGAAGAGAAGCCGCAUUGCAGCCGGCAGAGGCUGGCUUAUAGUACAUUUCACACGGUGGGACCCCGUGAGACUCGCUUAGCUUCUCAUCAAUCAAUAGCAAACUCACACUCUAUUCAGGUUUCACCCUAAGAGCUACUGUAGUAGUCAGGAAAGAAUAUAAAAACGGAAAUGCUUUGUGAAUGGUAAUAUACUAUGAAAACAAAAAGUAUUUCUCUUCUAACAGGGAUGCUUGGGUUAUAAAAAUGAUUGUUGUAAAACACUCAUUUCUGCCAAUAAACUGGCUAUGUUGGUUUCUUGUUUCUAUGGAGAAUCACUUGCGGUGGGCUACUAGUGAAGGAGAGAGGUUUAUUUAGCUCAAGUUGUGGAGACUGAAAAUGCAAACGGUACAAUGCCACCCGACUGUCCCUUUAGCUAGACAACCUCAUGAUGUAAUGGCAGGGUCGUGUGGGGUUAAAAGGUCAAAGUACCAUACAAGGAGAGGUUACAUAGCAAUUUAGGGAUUGAGCGUUCUCUUAAAAUAACUUUUUUCUCACAAACUAUACUACUCUUAUCCAUAAGUUUGGAGUUGUACUGCUAUGUUUUUAAAAACAAUAGUUCAUCAAUGUCCCAGUCAGUCCAGAAUAACUGAUGGACUCUGCUAAGUGGGCUGGCACAUGGCAGGCUUUAGUGCUGGGCCCUCUUAGUGGGGUAAGUAAGGGGAGGCAGCAUCCCAGAGCUGAGUUACUCUAGACCAGCAGUUCUCAACCUGUGGGUCUCGACUCCCCUUCACAGAAGUUGCCUAAGACCAUCAGAAAACACAGAUAUUUAUGUUACUAUUCAUAACACUAUCAAGUAAAACUAUAGUUAUAGUGUAGCAAUGACAAUAAUUUUAUGGGUGGGGCAUCACCACAACAUGAGGAACUGUUAUUGAAGAAUCAAAGCAUGAGAGAGCCCGUUCCUUCUGUCUCGGCUGUCAAUCAGAAAGAGACCCACACCUGAGUCUCUAGGAACUAGAGGAAGUGGAAAAUGGAAACGGGGUGUUUUGAAGGAGAUAGUUUUCUUUUUUUUAGAUAAGGUCUCACUCUGUAGCCCAGGCUGACCUGAAAUUCACUAUGUAGAUUCUUCUAGCUUUCUUUCUGUUGUUGAGUGUGAUAAACACCAUGACCAAAAGCAACUUCGGGAAGAAGGUGUUUAUUCUGGCUUAGACCUCAGGUCAUAGUCCAUCACAGAAGUGCAAGCGCGGGUUCAAGCAGCAACUUAAACAGAAGCCAUGGAGGAGCGCUGCUCACUGGCUUUCCCUCAGCUAAGCGUUGACAGCUCAGACUCACCCGCCCAGGAGUGGGAGAGCCCACAGCAAAAGCCCAAGGUUGGUUCAAACACACAACAACCCUUCUGCUUCUGCUUCACAAGUGCUCCAAUGACCAGAUCACAGCAAAACAAAACAAAACAAAACAAAAACGAACAAGCAUCUUUCUCAGCUUUUCAUAGGAAAUAAUAAAGGCUCAGUGGGGUUAGGUGUGCUGGUUCUAAUCCCAGAACGGAAUUAGGAGGAUCUUGAGGUCAAGGUUACACGAAGAGGAUACCAUCUCGAAAACAUCUCGGGCUAUUUUUGAAACCACGUGUGUGUGUGUGUGUGUGUGUGUGUGUGUGUGUGUGUGUGUGUGUGUGCGCGUGCGCGUGCGCGUGCGCGUGUGCGUGUGUAAGCACAGGUCAUAGCACGCACAUGCAAGUCAGAAGGCUCAGUUCUCGCCUUCCAUGGUGUGAGUUCAGAGAGUCACACUCAGUAGUCAGGAUUAGUAGCAGCUUCCUCUACCUGUUGUGCAUCUUUUGCAGCCCAGAGCCUAUAGCUCUAUGACAGAGCAUCUGCACGUCUGAAGCCAGUCCUGAGUUCAGUCCCCAGCGCCAGGAAAGGAAGGGGCGGGGCUUGGAACGGGCAGGCUGGAAGGAAAAGGAGAUUUCCAUUCAAAGCUAGGACGUGGGCCUGGCUCCUCACCUGGGACAACUGAACCCCACCCCCAACCCCCUCUACCUCCCUGUGUUUGUUUAUAACUCAGGGAUAUUACGACUGUCUGCCUCACAGACUCAUGGUGGUUGACAACAGGGUGCUAUCUUGCAAGUGAAGGCAACAGGCGGCAUGGAACCGGGAACCCAGCCGUGGGUCUGAACAGAACCAGAGGCUCUGCUGGUCGCUCCACACUGCCAGCCACUAAAUAAAUGAAAGCUGCUGUGAUUAAUUAUUUAGAAAAAAGCAAUUUGUUCCAGGCCUCCAAGUGACUCAGCAGGCUUCUACUUAGGAGGACAAUAUACCACCCCACCCCCAUCCCUCCGAGCCCAUUGAGCUUUCUUAGUGGUUCUAUGAGGGUGAUGAUUCAUACGCCAUGGCUUUUUUUUUUUUUUUUUUUUUUUUUUUUUUUUUUUGUGACAAAGCAGGACAAACGGAGUAGGGGUGGGGAGCAUGGAGGAGAGGCACCAACCAAUCUGGUUCUGACAGCUGGGCCACCCUGGAUGGCAGAGAUGAGUCAGCUCGCUGCUGCUACGCUCCUGAGCCUAGGCAGGGCAUCUCAGAUCACGGCCGCCCAGACUGAUGGGUUGGAGUCUAUGUGUGAUAACAUUCUCUCCUCCCCAAGGCCAUGCCUCACCUCAGGCUUCUCCCAGUCCUCGAGCAAAUGUGUGUGCGAGUGCGUGUGGAGUGAAUACGUGCAUGUGUGUGUUAACAUGUACAUAAAGGCACUUGUACACUUGGAGGCUACAGGUCAGCAUAGGAUGUCUCCACCCUAACUUGGGAGAAUGCUGCCCUCGAACACCCAGCCUGGAGUUUGCUGAUUCAGGUUAUCUGUCCUUCGAGCCCCAGGGCUAUAUAGGUGUGCACAAUGGGAGAUUACACGGAAGCCUGCACCUGUUGCCUCAGAGGGCAGAGUACUAUCUGGGUGUCCUAGGGAAAGAACACAGAUAGGACACCCGAACAAUGAAUGAGUUCCUGGGUGCCGGACGGACAGCUGCUUCCUUAGAGGGGAGCUGGUACAGGUCCACAGAGUCGUCCUUGACUCUGGUUGGUCCACAAUCUACACUCUCAAUCUCGGCGUUAGCUUUUUUGUGCUCUAAAGCAAAGAAGGAGAAGUGGAAAACAGCCAAGACUCUAUUUCCUCUGUGAGCAACUGUUUCUGUCUGACUGGGGACUUGGGCUGGAACAUGAGAAAAGAGAGAUGAAGCUAAUUCUCUGUGGUGGUGGAUUUUUUUGGUGGGCUUCUUUUGUUUUAAUCUGUUUUAGGUGUUGCUAUAAAAUGGGUUACUAGGAGCCUGAGGCAGAAAAAUCGUUGCGUUUGAACUAAUUCUGGGCUCUAUAAUGACUUCCAGGCCAGUCUGAGCUCUAUAGGCAGACUCUGCCUCAGAAAACCAAAAUGAAACAAAAGGCCAGUUUUGGGUGAGAAAACAAAACAAUUCCUACUAUUCUGCUUUUAAAUAACCUUCACAACGAAUGACCACUAAUUACUAUCAACAGCAAGGUUUCAAUAAAACUGGAUAUUUAAAUGACAAAAUUUCUAGCCAAACUUGUGAUAGGGAUAACAUUUAACCUAACCUUCAUCAUAAUAAAUAGAAAGGAACUUUAGUGGGAUAUGGUGGUUAAUGCUUGCCACCCCAGCUCUAGGGAGGCUGAUGUAGAAAGUUGCUGCAAGUUCAAAGACAGCCUGGGUUACCCAGGGAAGGCCCGACCAGUCUUGGCUACAUAGCUAGACCCUGCCUUGGAUAAAUAUACAUACAUGUAUGUAUGUAUGUAUGUAUGUAUGUAUGUGUAUGUGUGUGUAUGUAUAUGUAUGUGUGUGUAUAUGUAUGUGUAUUAUGUGCAUGUAUGUAUAUAUAUGUAUGUGUGUAUGUAUAUGUAUACACACAUAUAUGUAUACAUGUAUAUAUGUAUGUGUAUGUAUGUGUGUGUAUGUAUGUAUGUAUGUAUGUAUGUAUGUAUGUAUGUAUGUAUAUACCUAUCAUCAAUGUGCUAUUUCUGGUACUACAAUUCCUUGGCUCGUGCCCUAUGUAACCUAUUCUCCUGUCAGGCUAACUGCAUUUUGACAUUAGCAAAGCUCUGUCACUGAAAAGUCCUUAACUAACCAUUUAUAGCAAGUAAGAAAAGAAGUUAAUUUCACCUUUUAAGCCUUGCUUUCCUUUCAAAUCAACUCUGCUGGAAGAGGGCAGAGCACCUGCUUGGAAUUCAGCUGCCCGUUCGAGUCCUAGCUGGGAAGGGGCUGUACACCCACAAGCAAGCCAGACUCCUGCCCCGGGUCCUCCAUUCAUCACCUGGAAGACCCAGGCUUGGUGUGGGUGCCUUGCCUGGGUCAUCUGAUUUUCACGGCCUGUCUAAAGUACCUAGGCCAGGAAGGAACAUUUGGAAACAGAGGGUCUGCAAGCUUCUUGAUAGGUAUGAACAGACACAAACCCUGGGCGAAGUCCAACCCACUGCCUGCUUUUCAGUUAUCUCACAGUCCCCCAAAACCGCUGUCACAUUUGUAAUUGUUUUAAGAAUUCUGUGCCACAUAAAAUUUACACUAAAUUAGAUCCAAGAGGUCACUGGAGCCCAGCCAAAGUUACUCCUGCAUAUAUUUCCUCUGUCCUUGUAUUGUAACAGCAGCAUUGACCAAAGAGACCACCUGACCCACAAGGCCUAGAAUAUUCUCUCUGCUUCUUUAUGAAGUUUGUUUGCUGUCCAUACUGCAGAGCAAGGUAUCUGGAGUGUGAACAAAUAGUCGGGUCCAAGGGCAACUGCCACCCUCCAGGACCUCCUACAAAUACGCAGGUCUCUGGAGCUCAGUUUCCAUGUAGGUUCAUGGUAUCUGCACGCAUCCCACACCUACACCCAGCCUCCUGCACCUUCUAUCACUCUGGAGUACUUAAGAAAAAUAUAAACGCUACGGCCAUGGCUGAUUACAGGAUACUAAAUCAUCCUUACAUGUUUGGACCUGAGGAGAUGUUUGUUUGUUUGUUUGUUUGUUUGUUUUUAAAGACAGGGUCUUACCCAUGUAGCACAGGCUAGCCUCAAAGAUAAAGUGAUCCACAUGCCUUUGCAUCCGAAGUGCUGGGAUCACAGGCGUGCACCACUAUGCCUUUCACACCUAGUGCUGCUAAUUGAACUAUACCUAUAGCUUGUUCUGUGGUGUGUGUGAGUGAGUGUGUGUGUGUGUGUGUGUGUGUGUGUGUGUAUGUGUGUGUGUGUGUGUGUUUUCAAAACGAGGCCUCUCUAUGUCGCCUUGGUUGUCCUGGAACUCACUCUGUAGACCAGGCUGGCUGGGAACUCAGAGAUCCUCCUGCCUCUGCUUCCCAAGAGCAUUGGAUUAAAGGUGUGAUCCACCACAGAGGGAUUUUUUUUAGUAUUUUUAAUAUGGGAUUGGUUGAAUCCAAGGAUACGGACUCUUUAUUUAUAAAAUGCCUAUGGUGUGUGCCAAUCCUCAAAAGAUUUUACUAAAAUUUAGCAGAUUCAGAAUGAACUGAGGCUACACUUGGAGCGGGACGAGGCUCCCAUCUGUCAGACCGUGAAUUUGUUCAAUGGCCUUAGUAUCUUUUGAUGGCUUAGCGUAUAUGUGAUUAUUGCACUCUCCCCAGCUUCACUGCCUAUCACAAACUUCAUGCGUGUUCCCCAGGCCUGUGUGAGUGUGUCUUACCCAUCUUCCUCUGCGCAUGCUGUUUCUGCCUCCUCAGUCUAUCCCUCCACCUGUGCAACUGUCUGCUUUUGUGUCCUUCCAAGCUCAUGUGUACCAGCACCUCCUCUGAGAGCUUUCCCUAGUCCCUCAAAGUGGGCUGAGUGGGUCUUUCAGUACCAUAGACUCCUCUUCACAGCCUGUGUCAUGUGGGUAAGACAUUGAGGAGCUUUCGAGCAGAGGCUCCUGGUUUAUCUCCACGUACCCCACUUACCUAGCGGCUCUAGGCACACAGUAAGUAUAUAAUGCAUGCUGUUUGAAAUGGAACAGAUUAAACUACUCAGCGCCACCCAACAAACAAGUGAAAAGCGGAGACUAGAGCUCAACCCUUUCUGGGCUCCUCUGUGUGCUAAUCUUUCCUUAGACCAUACCCCACAAACGGAUACUCUUUGCCCCCACUCAUGAUGGACUUUCUUCUACUGCGUUUCAACGAGGCAGAGUCUCAGGCCAGAGUGUUUGGGCAGAGUGGCUCCUGCCCCAAGGGCCGUUGCAUGGAACACUGAGAAUUUUUGAUUCCUGGUAUCCAUUCUUCCUGAAGGGCCCCCUCAGCCUCAAGGAAGAAGGUCCUGGGAGCUAAUGGUAUCUAUGCCAACGGAACAGCAGCCAUAGCAAUGAGUCACAAGUGAGUGAACAUGGCCAGUGUUGGAUGGGGUUAUUGAGAAGGCCUGGGAAACGGAUCUGAUCGUCGUCAACACUCCUCCGCUUCCCGCUCACUUCUGUGGUUUCCAUUUCCUUAUUGAUCACCUAGGCCCAGAGGAAUGUGGUCCAGCCAGACAGUCAGAGGCUAAGCGCAGCCACAAUGGAAAGGGGGACAGAAAUGGUGAUGGAUAUUGGCUGCCAGAUACUGAAAGAAGUGGAGGGGCUGGGAGCGGGUGUGGCCGAAUCUGAAUCCUGCCCAUACCUUCAAUAGGGCACCUUUCCCACUUUCUCCUAUCAGAUCUCAGAUUCCUUGCGUUAAGUUCAUAAGGCUCUUUAGAGGGUCACUUGGCUGUUACAGCCCGCGCAAGGAAGCCCAAAUUGUUUUCCCUUAAAAUCCAGACAGUGAGAGGUGGAGGCAAGAUGUUCAGGGAUCCAGAAUGAGCCUGGGCUUCUUGAGAUCCUUAAUUAAAAGCAAAACCAAGAGGGGUAGAGAGUGGCUCAGUGGUCAACAGUGCUUACUAGAAGUCCUGGGUUCAGUUCCUAGCAUCCACACCAGGCAGCCCAUAAUCACCUAUAACUUCAGUUCCACGUGAGCUGAUCCCCUGUAGGCAUCAAUUAAGAAGGUGUGUGCAUAAACUUACAACACACACACACACACACACACACACACACACACACACACACACAGAAAGACAUCUUUUAAAAUAAGUUCACAGAGUGACACCGUAACCCAUAAAUAAAACAGAAUGUGGAACUGGCACCUUUUUGUUUUCUUAAGAGGAUUGGCAGAGUGGCCCAGUAUGAAGAGACCAGUAAGGUUGACACACGUUUGUAGUCACAGCACUUGGGAGGCAGAGGUAAAAAGUUGAAAGUUGAAAAGCCAGCGUGGGUUACCUGUCCUGUGUCUAAGGAGAUAGCCCCUUGUGAAGGGGGCCAUCUUUGUGAAGGGGGCCAUCUAUAUGAAGUGAGGGUAGGUGGAUCAGAGUUUAAGGUUAUCCUCAGCUGCACAGCAUUACAACAUUACCAGUCCCCACCCCACCCCAAAAAGCCAGGCAGCGAUGGCACACCUUUUAUCCCAACAAGCAGGUCUCCGCUCUGUUCCCAGGCCAACCUGGUCUACAGAAUAAUUUCCAGGACAACCAGGGCUGCACAGAAAAACCCUGUCUCCAAAACAAACAAGCAAAUGAACGAACACCCCACAGACACAAGAGAGUGAACUUAGAGGCCCAAUCUCCCUCUUUUCCAUUCUAGAGGCCACCACCAUCAAUCAACAGGUCAGGAAAAUAGCCCUCGUCAAAACCAGCAACUGCCAGACUUUGGUGCUGGACUUCCUGUCUGGUGCUCUGUCUGUUGCUUAAGCCCGCAGUUUGUGGUUACUUAGCUGCAACCCCAUAAGCUGACCAAGACGGUAUUUUUUUUUCCUUUACAGGUAAGUGGCUAGGCUUCCAUUUCCUCCAGCAAAACAAUAUUAAGUUCUCGAAGACUUAGGAAUCCUGUCUUGCAUUUCAGUCUCUCCAGCACAGGGCAUAUGAAUAACAAGUAUCAAUGAAUUGUAAUAGCCCUUGGAAUGAAUGAGUCACUAGCUGCUGGGCCCCAUAUAGAGAAACAGGGAGCUCUGAGAUAUCGCUCUCUGCGAUUAUAAUCCAGUUUUGGAAACUGACAUAAGGCACCUGUGAGAGUGUCCUGAAAAGUGGUGUUGUAUGGUUUGCAUACGACGGGCUGAGGCAGCGGACUCAUGUGCUUGUACGUGUGUAUGUGCACACAUGUGCAGAUACACACACACACACACACACACACACACACACACACACACAGAGGCACAAACACCUUCUACCUAAGAAGGGGAGUGGGGAGAGGUGGGUGGAGAAGUGUGAAAGGAGUGGUACAAUCGUCUCAAAGGAGCAGACUAUUUGAAAGGUAGGUAAAACCACACCUCCUUUACCAGGCUGUGGUAUCACAGGUCUGCAAGGCUGGCAAUGCAGAGCCGGAGGCAGAAGGACCACAAGCUUGAAGUUCAGGGCCGGUUUGCUACACAGCUCAAUAAGUAAAGCAAAUGAGCAUGAAGUUUCACCAAAAAACAGAAAAAUGCACCCAGAAGGAAGACGUUCAUUGCUCUAUCAAUACGUUUGGGCAGCAGGGCCCUGAGCAGAGCCCUUGAGAGGUCUUUGAGAAGCCUAAGGCAGCUAAGCUGUGUCCCUGUGAAAGGUAAAUGUGAUGGAGCUGGAAGGGCAAGUGGUGGCCAGACUCUGAUUAACUCCUGAUUGACCGUCAUCCCAGAAACACGGAAGGGAGCCCCUGGGAAGAAAGGAAAGACAACUCAACAGUAAGGAAUGUCGCUGUGCAAAAGCUUGAAUGGGCUGUCAAGGCAGGGUGAAGCAGAAUAUGGAAUUACAAAUAAUAACAAAUAACAAGGGGCUCUAAAGCCUGAUGGGUUAAGAGUAGAGUCAUGGUCUGGUAGUGGCGGUGGGAGAGACACAUGCUGGUGGAGCUCUGAGUUCGAGGCCAGCCUGAUCUAUAGAGUGAGUUCUAGGACAGCCAGGGCUCCAUAGAGAAUCCCUGCCUUGAAAAAACCAACACUCCAACCCCCAAAAAAGUACAUUCCUGUGGUCACUUCCUAGUUGGAUAUCUUUGCAUAUGUGUCUUCUCAUUUGCAGAAUGGAAGUGCUUGUUAACUACUUGGUUCGGGAUUUGAGAAAAGCAUAAUGUAGCACGUAGUAGGCCCACAACAAACAAAAGCUGUCAUCUGUAUUUAGUAAGUUGUGGAUUGUCUGUUGUUCGAAGAUGAAAAGUAGAUAAGGUACCCCCUUAUCAGCAUGCACUCCCUUGUUUUGUAAUGACCCUGUAUUGGGGAUCUAUUGGAGCAGAGAGCACCCUAUUUAUCUCUAAGAAGGUCGAAUGGCCCUGUGCUACACUGGACUUUCCAGAGAUAGGAUCUACAGCUUUGGAGAACUUGUCAUGCAGAUAGGCAAUGCAGACAUAAACUGUCAUACCCAGAGUCAGAGAAGCUCAGGAACUCUGACCUCAGAAUCCACUGACUUCACAAACUCCAUGGUUUCACACCACACAGAACAAAGGCUCUGGGCUCACCCUCACACACAAAUCUUCCAGCACCUGAGAGCUGCCACAGAACACUAAGCAUCCAUGUCACCUUCUUCUCUCUCAGAAGCGGCAUCCACACUUCUGCAUGGAGGAGCAGACACAACACUCAAAACAGCUCUUAAAACACUCCCCUGCAAUGUGGUCUCUAAACACAGGAAACAGCAGCUGGCUGUGUUGCCAGGAAGGUUUGUUUGCCAGUGAGCGUGUGGGAGCUCGUUGUGUGAGUUUAAAGCUGUGAUCCAGGAACAAAAAUAAACCAGCCAAGCCAAAACCAAAGCCAUGGAACCAGAGGUGAAAAGGAAAAGUUCAGAGCCAAGAAAACUUGGGUUAAAGAUGAGGGAUGUCCCUAAACUCCCAGUGCAUGCCUAACAGCCUCUUUGAAUUCUACUUCCUCUUUUGUAAACAGGCGUCAUUAACACCAAUGCUUUCUUGCAGUAAGUUAGGACUGGGUUCAAAGGGUGCUGAUGCUGGGGAAAGGCACAUAAUGCUGGUGACACUGAGGAUGGAGCUUAGCAGUAAAGGGUUGCAUAACAUGCAUGAGGUCCUGAGUUCUGUCUGUGUGUGUGUGUGUGUGUGUGUGUGUGUGUGUGUGUGUCCCCAUCCUUCGGGGAAACAAUAUGAAUUUGUUUCUAUUCUUGGGGGAGAAACAAAGACCCUACCACCAUCACCUUCCUAGCUCCUGAAUGACUGACUCCACAGCUCCACUUAUAUCUCUGUUUCCAAGCCAUCGAAUCUUUCCUCUCUCUCAUAUUUUAUUUUAUUUUCUUGUCCCCACCUGACUGGGAAUACUAAGAAGACAGAGGCUACUUUUUAUUUGUAUUUGUUUCUCUUAGAUCCCAGUACUAUGCACACCCAAUAAAUGUGUGUUAAAAAUAGACGAACAACCACCACAAAAAGCUACAGCAUGAAAUUAACAUAAAGAAGGAAGAGAGCAUUUUGGACACCUGACAAGUGGCUCUGAGAGGGUGUACCAGGCUCAGCUGCUAGGAGCCUUGCCUAGAGCACACAAAUCAUUGGGUUUCAUCCACAACACUACAUAAACUGAGAGUGGUGUCACAUGUUUUAGAGUCCUAGCAUUUUGGGAAAAAAAAAAUGUAGGGAGGUAGACCAGAAGUCCAAAAAGUCAUUGUUGACUCCAAUAUGAAUUUGAGGCCAGUUUGGGCUACAUGAGACCCUAUCUCAGAAACAAACAACAUAAAAUGAUGUUCUGUGUUGUGGCAGAGGUCCAGGGGAAAGCUGAGAUGACUGCAGAACCCCUAUGGAGACUUCUGCACCUUUAUCUUGAUCUUUCUUGUCUGAGGAGGAAACAGCCUCUAUUAAAAAAAAAAAGCAACCCCAGAGCUAAGAGGACCAAAAGGGGAAAUGGUCUUGGACUUGUUACUAAAAAUAAGUGCUGUAAUAUAUGUCCACCCCACCUCAGAAAUUGCAGUGACAACUUUGUCUCUUCUAGAAUUGUCUCUCAUAAUGAGCUCAUCAUUGUACGUUCUUUAGCCUUGUGUAGGGACAGUCUUCCUAACCAGUCCUGGAAGGAUGUCUGAGGAAGGAGCUACCUGGACUGGCCACUAAAGGAGACCUUGGGCCUUACAACCCAGGGUAGGCCAGCCUGGUCUUUCUCUGCAACUUGUUUCUAAGUCCAAAGAGGAACUCUUGAGGCCUCCUAGGCUAUCAGUCAGAAAGUCACCCAUGUUCAGUAGAAGCCAGGGCAUGAGCACGGAGCCUCAAGUAGAAUGUAUCAUUGGGUCACUGGUUUUUCAAGGUUGUCUGUCCUUGUGAACUAAGACUUGAUUCUGCCCUCACAAUGAUAACCUCCCUGUGAAAAUCCUCUGAUAAGCUUCCUAUGCUCACGUGGCAGCCCACAGAUUAGAGAUAUCCUCCCCUCCCUCGAUCAUAUCACAUAUCAAAGUCACCUGCUUCUUGUAGUCAGAGGCCGGGUCUUACUUAUUCCUCUCUGUAUUUGUACUCCAACACAGCAAACUCUUGGGUACUUGUGAGGCUUAGUGAAUCUUUGUUGAACUAAGCUGACUCUUUCUGCCUUGCCUUUUCCUUAUCUUGCCAAGCAUUCUCCAAACUACACAUCUGUAACCCCAAGUUACUAUUUCCAGACAGCUCAGAAACAAAACAAAACAAAAAAACAAAAAAACAA